rnacentral:misc_RNA from 1 species
UGGAACAAAACCCUUUUCAAAAGGAAUGCCAUUUAUAAGUAGAAAAUUACAAUUUUCUAUGACAGUUUAUAAUCAACAAAAAGCUGCUUUUACAACUUUACAAUCCUCACCACCCAAUACAUUGCAAAACUAAGUUCCUAUGACAUUCCUGGAGCUUAAUUGUUGCUACAGAGAUGAACAGGAAAAAAGAAAGAAAUGGCAAAAAGGAAAUGCCUGACAUUUUUUUUAUGGUUGCAGAUACCUCUAUAUCUUCUAUCUGUGGUUUAUAAAACUUAUACACAUGAUCUCCAUAUCCUCCCCUCUAAAGAAAUAACAAUGAUAGAAAUAUCAUCAUGGUAUCGCCGUCGAUCACCCUGUGGUAUUUCGAGCAACUCAUGAAAAUCCAUACCUGGAAUUCAUUAUAAACAAUUUCAGCACAUAUAUUUGCAGGCAUUUUUCUAUCUUUAUGCAAGACAUUGACAAUUAUACAAUACCAGCUUUCUUAGCUGCACGGAACAGCACCUCCUCAACCAGAUGCUGUGCUGGAUCCCCUUCAGGUUGCAAUGCAAUGAAAAGUUCAACUUCAUUGAUAGCUUCUUCAUUUGUAAAGUAUUGAUAAAGCCCAUCAGAGGAAAGUAUCAGAAACCUGUCUUUUGGGCCUAAUCUACGGUGGCGGAGAUAUGGUAAACAAUUUAUGUACGGAGAAUUGCCAAUAUAGUCUAUUCUGAACAUCUCUAGAAGCGCGUUGUUCCAUUUAGGCUGCUUGAGAAAACCUGCACCAAAAGCCCUUGUGACCUUCAAUGACCCUUUCACACGCUCAUUCAUCACAGCACAAGCAUCAUCGGGAUGCUCAGAUUUUAUUCUUCGAACUUCCUCUUCCACAUUGGUGCUAUGAUCAACACUAAGCUGAAAGGGAGUCAAAGUGGGUAUUGAAUUCGUUCUUUCACGUUCAUAAGUUUCAAGAUCAUGCAAUGUUUCCUCAUUUAUCCUCUCCAAGUCUUGCGUACUCUUCCCAAGCCAAUAAUCAGGCUCUGCCUUUUGGGCUAAUACUGCCCGACUAUCCCCCACAUUCAUCACAUACACAUCUUCUCCCUUCAUUAACAUCACAAGCACACAAGAACCCAUCAAAGCCAACUCCGGAUUCUCCAUUAGCAUCUUAUCAGCAAUAUCCAAAUAUGCCUCCUCCGUUUUCUUCAAAGCCUGGGACAAAGCCUUCAACACAUCUGCAUGAUUUAUGGCUCCAUUGUCAGACCCAGAUCGAUUCAAUUGCUCCUUUAAUCUCUUAUCAAGCUCUAAUCUCUCUCUAUCCCAUUCACACUUCCAUCUCAUCUGAUUCUCGUCCCAUUUCUUUGCAGCAUCUCUAUACUUCCCCCUGGAACUCCUCUUUCUCUUGGAAUUGGAAUCAAAACUCGCAUCAUGGCUAGCACAUGGAUGAUUCUCUUGGUCUAAGCACCGGGAACAUUCAUCAUUUUCGCAAUUCUUAUCGGUUUCAGAACUUUGUAAAGCAGUUUCCAAUCUUGAAUUAGUACCUUCUGAUCGAACAGGGGAGGAAGCAGGGGCAGAGAUUUUAGCAGACUCAAACUUAUCAUCCCACAACAAUCCUUUAAGCUCCUUAUGCACAGCAGAGUACAGAUUCGAGGAAAGAUAAUCAGUAGCGUCAGGGCCAUUGAACCCAUCAUAAAUACCAACAAAAACCCAUCCAUGCUCCUCUGACACAACAACAUGUACACGAUCCUCCCCUGCUUUCCCUUGUGCCCAAUGAAGAUUUUGGCUCUCCAAAGAAUCAUCAUCCUCUAAACUACCAUCGCUACUCAAAUUAAUGCUACUUACAGUCAAAUUCUCGUUGUAUUGCUUCUCUGGAUUCAGAAUCCAAUCUGGUUCUUUAAUAACGCCUUUUAUAGGAGCCACGAUUGAGUUCUGCCCACGAGAUAAUGUUUUGGAUAUGGCUCUUCGCAAGACUCGAGUCAGUGACCUCUUUGCCGAUCUGGGCCUGAAAGCGAAACCCGCAUGAGAGAAGCUCCUUUGGAACUUAUCAGAACUGCCCUUUUCAAGAGGACCCGACAACAACCCACGAUCCAACGGACCAGACAUAAAUCCCCUCUCAAUUGGACCCGACAUGAAUCCCCUCUCCAGCGGACCCGAACCAGGAAUAAGACCUGUAUUCCCUGUCAAAGGACCCGAAUUGAUGGAGCCGAUAAGAUUUCUCGGGAUUGGUUGCAGAGGAAUAGAAGCGAAAGAAGUUGAGCUCUCAAAAGCCGCAGCUCGGUCAAUAGUAUUAUACACAUAAGGAUCUAUAAAGGCAGUUGAGAGAGGCGUCGAAGCGUUAGCGCUGACGGAGGCGCCAGAGAUUGUGCGAAAGGUGGUUGUUUCCUCGGAGUGGACUUUAGAGGAGGAAAGGCGUGUGGGGUCAGGCCGGACGUAGCAGAAGGAGUGACCGAGACCCUCGUCGAGCGGGUCUGAUAUGAACAACGAUAUGUCCUGUCUCCGGCGAGCCUCUCCGGCUCCCGUGAAACAAACAGUGAGUUUACCAAUCCCAUUACCCAUCAAACCAAAACAAUUAAAAAAAAAAAAGAUUAUUUUUAAUUUGCACUGAAAUCACUUUCAGUGGUGUUUCAUGGCCAGAUAGAGAGAGAGAGAGAGAAGGAAGCUGAAGAGAAUAAGAAGAAGACGAAGAAGAGGUAAACGAGAGAGAGAGAGAGAGAGA